GUCUUAUUGAUUAUAAUUUUAAGUCUAAUCUGCCCAAUGAAAUUUUAAAUGGCUGCAGUAUUUUAACUGUACAAAGGUAGCAUAAUAAUUAGUCUCUUAAUUAGGGACUAGAAUGAAUGAUUGAACGAGAUAAUAACUGUCUCUAUUUAAUUUUUAGAAUUUUAUUUUUAAGUUAAAAAGCUUAAAUAAUUUUAAAAGACGAGAAGACCCUAUAGAGUUUAAUAUUUUUUAUUAAUUUAUUUUUUAGAUUAUUUAUUAAUAAAUUUUUUAAAAAAUAUUUAAUUGGGGUGAUUAAAAAAUUAAAUUAACUUUUUUUAUUUAUUAACAUAAAUUAAUGAUUAAUUGAUCCAAUUUUAUUGAUUAUAAGAUUAAAUUACCUUAGGGAUAACAGCGUAAUUUUUUUAGAGAGUUCAUAUCGAAAAAAAAGAUUGCGACCUCGAUGUUGGAUUAAAAUUAAUUUUUGGCGUAGAAGUUAAAAAAUUAGGUCUGUUCGACCUUUAAAAUUUUACAUGAUCUGAGUUUAAAUCGGCGUGAGCCAGGUUGGUUUCUAUCUUUAAAAAAUUAAAAUAUUUUAGUACGAAAGGACCAAAUAUUUAUAAGAAUUAUUUAUUUAUGAGUUAUAUUAAUUGUUACUUUGGCAGAAUAGUGCUUUAAAUUUAGAAUUUAAAUAUGUAUUUUAUACAAGUAAUAU
rnacentral:misc_RNA from 1 species